UUGUUGCAUGGAGGAGGUCUAAAGAAACGAUCGGCUCACUCUCUCACUCUCUGUCGCGGCCGAACCCAGAAAAGAAAAGAAAAACAGAGCAAGUGUUCUUCAAGCUUGUUCUUCCACCACAGGCCAUCAAACGACACCGGACAACCUCCAGUAGAUUCGCCUCAGCCUUGCGAAGCCACCUGUGGCAGUCUUGGGUCACGGAUCAGCCGGGAACGGCGGCGAAGGGAUAGAGUUCGUACGGCCCGAUUUGGUUCCAAGAAUGGUGACUCGAGCUACCGGCCACGAAACCUUCGCAAACUGCAUCCACAGGUUCGCCUUGACCUUCUGAAGCUCCCAGAACCACCCUUUCACGGCGGCGCUGCCUCUGGAAGCGGCUGGAACUUGAACCCGGUUGCACCCGAAACCUUCGAUCAUGUAUAUCUCGAGUUGUGGAGCUUGAUUUUGAUUGAUUCUUGAACCAGUGAGUUCGUCUUGAUGUUAUUAACAACUUUCCAGAAGGGAUAGAGUCCUGAAGUUGCAGUUUUUACCUCGAACUAGGAGCUCGCCGGUUUCUGGGUUUUUUUUUUCCGGCCAACCCGACUGGUUUGAGGUGAUUGACGGUCUUCCUUGGUGAGCGGUUGUGGCGUGUUUUGUAAAAUUGAAGACACAGCUGGAUUAGAGCGGGUAAUCCUGUAGGUCAGGAGAAUCAGGGCGGUGAUCGUGCGGGUUAGAGUAUUUGUUAUAAUUUUACAGCAAUUGUAAUAGUGAGAUGAGUUAAGCUCAUUUGAGCCUUGCAAUUUGAUUUGGUGAGAGUGUGUUGUAAUAAAUAACUUGAGAAUGUGGUUUAUUGUAUCAUUGAGAGGUGUGGAGUGUGGUUGUUUUUGAGAAAAAAAAUUCAGGACGUUGGUUUGUAAUAGUUAUUAUUUCAUGUUUCGGAUUUGAAUUGUUUAUUCAAAAUUCGCGGCGUGACAAUUAGUUCUGAGAUUACAGAGGGAGGAGUUUAUGGAGGCUUUGAGGGGAACCAGUGAUCAAUCAAGUGCCUCUCUUUCGUCUGCUAGAGCAAACCUGAUAGCCAUGGCAUCUAGAGCCACUAAUAACCGUGGUGCUGCAACCCGAUUUAUGUAGUCUAGUUUUCCCUUUGAUUGGUGUACUGCUUUUCUUAUGACUCUUUACUAGCAUUGCUCAAUCCUAGUGGUUACUAAAUUUGUUGCAUUAAAAAAAAAUCUAUAUGAAUGGUUAUGGUGUUCGGUGAAUGAUGUGGAUGGGGCAUGGAGACUCGAACAGCAAGAAUAUCUCGUUUAAUCCUUUUAAUUGUAAACUGACUCUGAUUAUGUCUUGUCUAAUCCUUUAAGGAAAAUAAAUCUUGAGAUUAUUCCUAUUUGGACAAGUAAUCUGAACUUAUAAAUAGGAGG